UACGGAGGAUCCAAGCGUUAUCCGGAAUCAUUGGGUUUAAAGGGUCCGUAGGCGGUUUGGUAAGUCAGUGGUGAAAGCCCAUCGCUCAACGGUGGAACGGCCAUUGAUACUGCCAGACUUGAAUUAUUAGGAAGUAACUAGAAUAUGUAGUGUAGCGGUGAAAAUGCUUAGAGAUUACAUGGAAUACCAAUUGCGAAGGCAGGUUACUACUAAUGGAUUGACGCUGAUGGACGAAAGCGUGGGUAGCGAACAGG
rnacentral:rRNA from 1 species